ensembl:lncRNA
CACGCAUAUUUUGCUCCCACAUGGCAUUGAUAGGUCGAAAAAUGUUUCAUUUAUUUAAAAAAUAUAUAUAAAUUAAAUCUAAAAUGAUGAUAAAACAUGGAGAGAGGUUAUAAAUACAAAUAUCAAAAUCCACUUUUGUUUUCCAGUACACAGUACGUCUGAAGAGCAUCAUUCACUAGAGGGGAGAGUGGAAAGAGCUGACUCAGCAUCAUUCACUAGAGGGGAGAGUGGAAAGAGCUGACUCAGCAUCAUUCACUAGAGGGGAGAGUGGAAAGAGCUGACUCAGCAUCAUUCACUAGAGGGGAGAGUGGAAAGAGCUGACUCAGCAUCAUUCACUAGAGGGGAGAGUGGAAAGAGCUGACUCAGCACCAUGUACACAUGUGGUGCAGUGCUACACUACCACCCUGCUAUGGUAUGUACACUGCAGACCACUCUCCAAGAUCUACAGAUCUAUUCACAUUUAGUGUGUGUGUGUGUAUAUAUAUAUAUAUAUUCCAUUUCCAUUUCCAUUCUUGAUUUCACAUUGCCUGAAUGAACUGUCCCCCUCCCCCUCGUCUCUUCACUGUAGCUCUCAGCCCCAUCAGUGCUCCACUUUGCCCCCUGCAGGUGGAAGGGAGUAAAGGAUCUGUCCAUAUAUAGUCACAGUGUCCUAGAGAAGGAGUGCCGAUCUAGGAUGUGUCCAUAUAUGGUCACAGUGUCCUAGAGAAGGAGUGCCGAUCUAGGAUGUGUCCAUAUAUGGUCACAGUGUCCUAGAGAAGGAGUGCCGAUCUAGGAUCUGUCCAUAUAUGGUCAGUGUCCUAGAGAAGGAGUCCGGAUCUAGGAUCUGUUCAUACAAUCUUAUUCGUUAUGAUGUAAAAUUCUAAACUGAUGCCAGUUCCCCGUCAGUCUACCUGUCCUAUCCUAACCACUGUCUCACGUGUCAGUCUACCUGUCCUAUCCUAACCACUGUCUCACGUGUCAGUCUACCUGUCCUAUCCUAACCACUGUCUCACGUGUCAGUCUACCUGUCCUAUCCUAACCACUGUCUCACGUGUCAGUCUACCUGUCCUAUCCUAACCACUG